UCUUAAUUGGAGGAUCGUAUGAAAGGUAAGACGAAUGAGGUUAAAUUUUUAAUCUAAAGUUUUAAUUUAGCUGAUCAGUUAAAAUUCUGAUCUUUAAUUUAGGGACAAGAAGACCCUAUAAAGUUUGACUUUUUAGUCUUGUUUAUAAGAUAAAGAAGUUUUGUUGGGGCAAUACUGUAAGAGGGAAUCUUACUGAUGUAAAUUCUUGCUAAAGUUUCUCUGAGCUGUUAUUAACACGAAUAGAAUCAAUUACUUUAGGGAUAACAGCAUAAUUAAGGCUUUUAAGUACAAAUUUACAGUCUUGAUUAUGACCUCGAUGUUG
rnacentral:rRNA from 1 species